rnacentral:lncRNA from 1 species
UUUUCAUGUAGCACCUGCUCUGCCUGUGCCGUGCUAAGAGGCUCUUUCCACUGAAUCUGUUGGAUGGUCAUUGAAGUACGAUGCCAUAACAAGGUGCUGAGGGCCGAGCCAGGCUCUCUAAAGAUGAAGGUUCUGGGAAGGACAGAGAAGAAUCCAGAGGAAAUGGAUUCCUGCGCCGGUGCAUACACAUGGGGCAGGGGAGUGCUACUGCUGCUGCACAAAGAGUUAUGCCCUGCAGUCUGGGAGCACGAUUGUGUCUGUGCACCUGUGUGUUUCAGAGAUGCUCCAGCACACCAGCACUGACCUUCAGGCAGCCUCUUGCAGCCUCAGUCCCUGGGAAAAGCCCAGUUUCCUUCAUAAUCAUGUCAGGGAAGGGACAAGAGAUGGCACAUUUCACUCUAAUGGAAUGUUCUGGAAAGACUGUCAGAGGAAAUUUGUCUCUUGGAAAAUGAUCAGAAUCUUUUUGAGGUGAAGAUCAACCACUUCUAGGCAGAGACCAGUCCAUCUUCCACUGCCAUUCUGGCUUAAGUUCUCCACAGAUGAGUUGAAUCCCUCAGAAGCCACAUCAAAGUUCUGGAAAGAGUGAGGGAGUGAAAGGACACAGCCCCUGACCAGUGGCAUGGACUUGUUGGUGCAGCCAGUGCCAUGGGCUCCACUGCCCAGAGGAGAGCUCUGGAGAGGGCAGAGGAGGCAAGAGGAAGAAGGUGGGCUCUGAGAGCCACACCCACAGCUCAGAUUGCAGGGCAACAGAAGCCACUUUGUCUUCUAAACUCACCUCCCAAGGAAAAAACCCUUCUUCCUCCACUCCCAAAGUGCACCCUUGUUUAGUCAAGCCUGUGUCCCCUGCCCGUAGGAAGGAGGAAAGCUCUUUUUAGUACACCAGCAGAACUACAUUUGAUGAUGCAACUUAGUAACUUUGUGCUUAAGAACAAAGCAGCACUGCUUAGGGCCAAGGGAGGUGAAAGAGAAUCUCCUGGUGGUCAGAGCUCGGGGACAUCCCUGUUAGCUGGGUUGAUCAGGGAAGGCCUCAGGAAGAGGUAAGCUUGAUCUGUACUUUGGAGAUGGGAGGAAUCAGAGAACAGAGAGAAAAAUGGAGGGCACUUUGGCGGGGAAUUUAACACAGACCCUCUUACUCAUUGCACAUAGCUCUUUAAAGCUUACAAAGUAUGUUCACAUGUGUAAUCUCAUUUCAUCCUCAUUGGACUAUGGGAUCCCAGAGGUACUAUCUCAUUUGAGAAGCAAUUCAGCAUAGUAAUUAAGAGUGCAGUUUUUGAAUUUCUGGUUAAAUGUGGCAGAUGGAAUAAAUGCAUUUAUAUCUGCUCCCUCAACAAACCUCACAAAAAUAAAAGUAAAGCGAUGUAAAG